rnacentral:rRNA from 1 species
AUUGAACGCUGGCGGCAGGCCUAACACAUGCAAGUCGAGCGGCAGCGGGAAAGUAGCUUGCUACUUUUGCCGGCGAGCGGCGGGCGGGUGAGUAAUGCCUGGGGAUCUGCCCAGUCGAGGGGGAUAACUACUGGAAACGGUAGCUAAUACCGCAUACGCCCUACGGGGGAAAGCCGGGGACCUUCGUGCCUUGAGCGAUUGGAUGAACCCAGGUGGGAUUAGCUAGUUGGUGAGGUAAUGGCUCACCAAGGCGACGAUCCCUAGCUGGUCUGGGAGGAUGACCAGCCACACUGGAACUGAGACACGGUCCAGACUCCUACGGGAGGCAGCAGUGGGGAAUAUUGCACAAUGGGGGAAACCCUGAUGCAGCCAUGCCGCGUGUGUGAAGAAGGCCUUCGGGUUGUAAAGCACUUUCAGCGAGGAGGAAAGGUUGGUAGCUAAUAACUGCCAGCUGUGACGUUACUCGCAGAAGAAGCACCGGCUAACUCCGUGCCAGCCGCCGCCGUAAUAC